rnacentral:rRNA from 1 species
UGGGGAAUAUUGGACAAUGGGCGAAAGCCUGAUCCAGCCAUGCCGCGUGUGUGAAGAAGGUCUUCGGAUUGUAAAGCACUUUAAGUUGGGAGGAAGGGCAGUAAGCGAAUACCUUGCUGUUUUGACGUUACCGACAGAAUAAGCACCGGCUAACUCUGUGCCAGCAGCCGCGGUAAUACAGAGGGUGCAAGCGUUAAUCGGAAUUACUGGGCGUAAAGCGCGCGUAGGUGGUUUGUUAAGUUGGAUGUGAAAGCCCCGGGCUCAACCUGGGAACUGCAUUCAAAACUGACAAGCUAGAGUAUGGUAGAGGGUGGUGGAAUUUCCUGUGUAGCGGUGAAAUGCGUAGAUAUAGGAAGGAACACCAGUGGCGAAGGCGACUGACUGGACAAGUAUUGACGCUGAGGUGCGAAAGCGUGGGGAGCAAACA